rnacentral:rRNA from 1 species
UGGGGAAUAUUGGACAAUGGGCGAAAGCCUGAUCCAGCCAUGCCGCGUGAGUGAUGAAGGCCUUAGGGUUGUAAAGCUCUUUUAGCAGGGAAGAUAAUGACGGUACCCGCAGAAAAAGCCCCGGCUAACUUCGUGCCAGCAGCCGCGGUAAUACGAAGGGGGCUAGCGUUGCUCGGAAUUACUGGGCGUAAAGCGCACGUAGGCGGACUCUUAAGUCGGUGGUGAAAUCCUGGAGCUCAACUCCAGAACUGCCUUCGAUACUGGGAGUCUUGAGUUCGGGAGAGGUGAGUGGAACUGCGAGUGUAGAGGUGAAAUUCGUAGAUAUUCGCAAGAACACCAGUGGCGAAGGCGGCUCACUGGCCCGAUACUGACGCUGAGGUGCGAAAGCGUGGGGAGCAAACA